rnacentral:lncRNA from 1 species
AACUUCAAAUACCCCCCCAAGAUUUCUCACUAUCUCAUUUUAGUACCCCAUAGUUUAAAGUGUAUCAAAGUUAGUAUCCCGUGGUUUCGUACUUUCUCACUUUAGUACCUUGUAAUUUCAAGUGUAUCAAGUUAGUACCCUAUGGUUUCGCUCUUUCUCGCUUUAAUACCCUGUGAUUUAAUAUUUUGUUAAAUUAUAUACCCCGAAAUGAAUAAUAAAAAGAGAAAUUGAAACCACAGGGUACUAACUUGAUAUAAAAAUGAAACCACAAAGUACUAACUUGAUAUACUUAAAACCAUAGGGUACUAAAGUGAGAAAGUGUGAAACUACAGGGAGAUAUUUGAAGUUUUCCCUUUUUUAUUUAAUUUUAUAAAACUUAUUAUACAAACAUACAUAAAACAAAAUUUUAUAAUUUUUCCAAAUUAUAAUAAAAAUUUUGGAUAUAUAAACAACGAUCAAAAUUGAACAACGUCUUAAAAAAGAAUGAUUGGAUUCUUCAAUUUAAGAUCGGAGUUAUUGAUCUUUAUUUACACAGUUAAUAUAACUUUUCUAUUAAAAAUUCAGCCGAUUUUGAUUUUUGUACAUCAUUAAACUAGCAAGUAUUUCAUACCGGUAGUUAAAAAUUAUUAAUUUUGAAAUCUUUUGACCGUAAUAUAAAUAAUGUAAAAAAUUAUAAAAUUUGAUUUUCAAAAGUUUUAAAUACUCUAAAAAAUAUUUCACGGUAUGGAUCAUUAAUUUGGAAGCUCUAUCGUCGAAAAUUUUAUAUGAGUUAUUCAAUCUUUCAAAAUUUUUAAUUUAUUGUCCAAUUUUUCAAUUUAUUUAAUUUAAGUAAGUCAACAGCAUAUUGACUUUAAUUAACUAAUUAUUUAUUAUUUUAAUAAAUUUACAGUCAAAAGGAUUAAAUAAAGUAUAUUAAAUAAGUAUAUAAAGAUAAACAAUACAUUCAAAUCAAACAAAUUGAAAUAUUAAAUUAUUAAAUUAAAAUUUUGAAAGGUUGGAUAACCAAUUCAAAAUAAUUUAUAAUUUAGAUAAAUUCUGUAUGUUUUUAUCAUUUUUAUUUUAUUUAUUAUAUAAAAUUCCACUAGUAACUU